GACGAGCGCUGGCGGCGUGCUUAACACAUGCAAGUCGAACGAUGAACCCGGAGCUUGCUCCGGCGGAUUAGUGGCGAACGGGUGAGUAACACGUGAGUAACCUGCCCUUGACUCUGGGAUAACUGCUAGAAAUGGUAGCUAAUACCGGAUACGACCCACGGUGGCAUCACAAGGGGGUGGAAGGAAUUCCGGUCAAGGAUGGACUGGCGGCCUAUCAGCUAGUUGAUGAGGUAACGGCUCACCAAGGCGACGACGGGUAGCCGGCCUGAGAGGGUACCCGGCCACACUGGGACUGAGACACGGCCCAGACUCCUACGGGAGGCAGCAGUGGGGAAUAUUGCACAAUGGGCGCAAGCCUGAUGCAGCAACGCCGCGUGAGGGCUGACGGCCUACGGGUUGUAAACCUCCUUUAGUAGGGAAGAAGCGAAAGUGACGGUACCUGCAGAAAAAGCACCGGCUAACUACGUGCCAGCAGCCGCGGUAA
rnacentral:rRNA from 1 species